GCGCUUGGUCUCGCCGAUAUAGGGAUCAAUCAAUCCAUGGUCAUUGAUGUAUCCUUUGCUACAGAUUGGCUGGUGCACCCGAAAUACCGGUGGAACGAGGCCAGUUAUCAGUCGGGAGACGUGAGUUAUUCUAUCUACGUAUCUCUCAAUACAUUUAGUAACUCUUGCUGAUUCAUCUUCCUAUGUCAGAGAGGAGUGCAGAAUAAUCUACCUUCUCAUAAUAUAACAACAUCUCUGAGGGAAGCUUACACAAAUCCGCAGGAUGUCCCCUGGGUUGGUGUUUUAUUGCAUUAGAAUCGAGCUCCUUGUAACGAGAGCCUCCUUAGGUCAGAUAGCUUCCCUUUCUAUUGCUCUGUGUAUUGCAUUGGAAAGUGAUCCUCCCUUUGUACAUUACUGCUCAAACAAAACAACAUGGGAUGAUUGCAGAACUGGCAUAAGUCACUGAAGAACUAUCUCCAGUAAAAUUGUCAUACACUGAAGGAGCUACAUUUGAUAACCCAGCACAUUAUCUUAUAGAUCGGAACAAAACUUAUUUGACUUGCAGCAGAGGAGAAUGGCAAUAAUAAGUAAACAAAUAAAUACAUGUCAGAUGUGAGGAAGGAGAUCGAGAAUGGGAUUUAUAAAAUGUGAAAUUGUCAUGAAUUGGCGAAGAGGAGGAGAGGUAAGUGGGAUUCCCGCAAACGGUGCCACAUGGCUAAGAGUGAAAUUAGGAAUGAUCUGGUAGACUCAAACUCAUUCAAUCAUGCUGAGAGGCAAUUAAAGAAAAAGAAUAGCAAAUUAAGAUUGUUCUCGCUAAACCUUUCCUCGCUUAAAAGAGUAAUAGUGGCAAAGAUGCUGGAUUCGUUUAAUAGUCAGAUUAAUUCUGUGGAUGAGGUGGGAGCUGUAAAGCCUGCCUAGAUGGAUGAGCUCCAAUGGGUUGAAUGGGUUCUUCAUCUAUAUCUAUCUUGUUAUCGCCAUGUCCUUAAUCAGUUGUGAUAGAGCUAAUUAUUCAGAUGUCUUUCUAGACAGCUCACGUAGCUCAUCUCAAUAUC